UUGUUCAAAAAUCACAAAAAUUUCACUUACUGAUAAAACAUGGAAAAUGCUCCAUAUAUCCUCAAUCAUAUCAAUCAUAACACAAUAAAGAUAACAAAAUAAAAAAGCAGGCAUCUACGACAUAUUUUUUUAAAAAAAAAAUGUAUAGUUGAGAAUUUGACCUACUAUAUCCAAACUCCAUAGUCCUCUUAGCUGUUACUCGAUUCUCAAUCUCAUCUCAUACUUUCAAUCAGGUCUCAGUGGUUUAUUCACUAUUGAAUGAUUUUCUGACAAUAUACGACUAGGGCUGUAAACGAGCCGAACUCGAGCGAGCUGGAGCCAGCUCGAGAUCGGCUCGUCGUCUUCUAGGCCGGCUCGUGUUCGGCUCGAGCUCGUGACGAGCUCGAAAAUUUUGGCUCGUGAUCGGCUCGAAACUUAAUCGAGCCGGCUCGUGUUCGGCUCGUUAGCUCAAUUAUAUAAUGCUACCGAAGUUCGCUGCCGCCAAAGUUCACUGCUUCUGCCGCCGAAGUUCGCUGCCGCCAAAGUGUCGCCGUCGAAGUGUAACAACCCUGAAGAAUAAAUGGUAGAAGUAGUAGUUAACAGAGGAAGUUAGCAAAAAAAAUAGCAACUUUACUAGUUAAAAUGGAGAAUAAAAAUGGCAGCAGCUCG
rnacentral:lncRNA from 1 species